UACGUAGGGCGCGAGCGUUAUCCGGAAUUAUUGGGCGUAAAGAGCUCGUAGGCGGUUUGUCGCGUCUGCUGUGCAAGCCCGGGGCUCAACCCCGGGUGUGCAGUGGGUACGGGCAGACUAGAGUGCAGUAGGGGAGACUGGAAUUCCUGGUGUAGCGGUGAAAUGCGCAGAUAUCAGGAGGAACACCGAUGGCGAAGGCAGGUCUCUGGGCUGUUACUGACGCUGCGGAGCGAAAGCGUAGGUAGCGAACAGG
rnacentral:misc_RNA from 1 species